GCUGUGCUGUUAAUUGAGACUAAUGCUACGUUUACACGUGGCUGGCUAUUUUCAUAAACAGACAUUUCAACCUCUCCGUUUUCAAAAAUAACAUCGUGCAGAGCGGUCAGUUUUCAGAGAAGUGUUCGUUUACACGUACCCGUGUACAUAUGCCGUCAAGAGCACGCCAAACCUGUAGGUGGCAAUUUAACGAG